rnacentral:rRNA from 1 species
ACUGGUGCCAGCAGCCGCGGUAAUUCCAGCUCCAAUAGCGUAUAUUAAAGUUGUUGCAGUUAAAAGCUCGUAGUUGAAUUUCGGGGUUAGUAGAUUGGUCAUGCCUCUGGUAUGUACUGGUCUCACUGAUUCCUCCUUCCUGAUGAACCUUAAUGCCAUUAAUUUGGUGUUUUGGGGAAUUUGGACUGUUACUUUGAAAAAAUUAGAGUGUUUAAAGCAAGCUAACGCUUGAAUACAUUAGCAUGGAAUAAUGAAAUAGGACGUUCGAUCCUAUUUUAGUUGGUUUCUAGGGAUUGACGUAAUGAUUAAUAGGGAUAGUUGGGGGGCAUUAGUAUUCAAUUGUCAGAGGUGAAAUUCUUGGAUUUAUUGAAGACUAACUACUGCGAAAGCACUUGCCAAGGAUGUUUUCAUUAAUCAAGAACGAAAGUUAGGGGAUCGAAGACGAUCAGAUACCGUCGUAGUCUUAACCAUAAACUAUGCCGACUAGGGAUCGGAUGAUGUUAAUUUUUUAAUGACUCAUUCGGCGCCUUACG